GACGAACGCUGGCGGCGUGCCUAAUACAUGCAAGUUGAGCGAUGAAGCUUGGUGCUUGCACCAAUUUGAAGAGCAGCGAACGGGUGAGUAACGCGUGGGGAAUCUGCCUUUGAGCGGGGGACAACAUUUGGAAACGAAUGCUAAUACCGCAUAACAACUUUAAACAUAAGUUUUAAGUUUGAAAGAUGCAAUUGCAUCACUCAAAGAUGAUCCCGCGUUGUAUUAGCUAGUUGGUGAGGUAAAGGCUCACCAAGGCGAUGAUACAUAGCCGACCUGAGAGGGGGAUCGGCCACAUUGGGACUGAGAAACGGCCCAAACUCCUACGGGAGGCAGCAGUAGGGAAUCUUCGGCAAUGGACGAAAGUCUGACCGAGCAACGCCGCGUGAGUGAAGAAGGUUGUCGGAUCGUAAAACUCUGUUGGUAGAGAAGAACGUUGGUGAGAGUGGAAAGCUCAUCAAGUGACGGUAACUACCCAGAAAGGGACGGCUAACUACGUG
rnacentral:rRNA from 1 species